rnacentral:rRNA from 1 species
AGAACGAACGCUGGCGGCAUGCCUAACACAUGCAAGUCGAACGAGACCUUCGGGUCUAGUGGCGCACGGGUGCGUAACGCGUGGGAAUCUGCCCUUGGGUACGGAAUAACAGUUAGAAAUGACUGCUAAUACCGUAUAAUGACUUCGGUCCAAAGAUUUAUCGCCCAGGGAUGAGCCCGCGUCGGAUUAGCUAGUUGGUAGGGUAAAAGCCUACCAAGGCGACGAUCCGUAGCUGGUCUGAGAGGAUGAUCAGCCACACUGGGACUGAGACACGGCCCAGACUCCUACGGGAGGCAGCAGUGGGGAAUAUUGGACAAUGGGCGAAAGCCUGAUCCAGCAAUGCCGCGUGAGUGAUGAAGGCCUUAGGGUUGUAAAGCUCGUUUACCCGGGAUGAUAAUGACAGUACCGGAGAAGUACGGCCCGCUAACUCCGUGCCAGCAGCCGC